UAUGUGUUGUGUGUUUGACUCCUCCCACUCACUCAACUCGGGACGCAAACUCAGAAUCUCAGGCAUGGGAGGCAGAUGCUGUGACCAGUCGGCUAAAACCCGGGCCCUGGCCUGAGUGGCCAGAACCUCCUUUGGCUGUCGGGGGAGUAAGGCCUUUUGACCACCACAUGCACAGCAACUCCUCCUGGCCUCCAUCACAUUUUCACCACCAUCUGU